rnacentral:rRNA from 1 species
UGAGAGUAGCUGAAAGGUACUAUACGAAUAAGCACCGGCUAACUCCGUGCCAGCAGCCGCGGUAAUACGGAGGGUGCAAGCGUUAUCCGGAUUUAUUGGGUUUAAAGGGUCCGUAGGCGGAUCUGUAAGUCAGUGGUGAAAUCUCACAGCUUAACUGUGAAACUGCCAUUGAUACUGCAGGUCUUGAGUGUUGUUGAAGUAGCUGGAAUAAGUAGUGUAGCGGUGAAAUGCAUAGAUAUUACUUAGAACACCAAUUGCGAAGGCAGGUUACUAAGCAACAACUGACGCUGAUGGACGAAAGCGUGGGGAGCGAACAGGAUUAGAUACCCUGGUAGUCCACGCCGUAAACGAUGCUAACUCGUUUUUGGUUUUUCGGAAUCAGAGACUAAGCGAAAGUGAUAAGUUAGCCACCUGGGGAGUACGUUCGCAAGAAUGAAACUCAAAGGAAUUGACGGGGGCCCGCACAAGCGGUGGAUUAUGUGGUUUAAUUCGAUGAUACGCGAGGAACCUUACCAAGGCUUAAAUGGGAAAUGACAGGUUUAGAAAUAGACUUUUCUUCGGACAUUUUUCAAGGUGCUGCAUGGUUGUCGUCAGCUCGUGCCGUGAGGUGUUAGGUUAAGUCCUGCAACGAGCGCAACCCCUGUCACUAGUUGCCAUCAUUAAGUUGGGGACUCUAGUGAGACUGCCUACGCAAGUAGAGAGGAAGGUGGGGAUGACGUCAAAUCAUCACGGCCCUUACGCCUUGGGCCACACACGUAAUACAAUGGCCAGUACAGAGGGCAGCUACACGGUGACGUGAUGCAAAUCUCGAAAGCUGGUCUCAGUUCGGAUUGGAGUCUGCAACUCGACUCUAUGAAGCUGGAAUCGCUAGUAAUCGCGCAUCAGCCAUGGCGCGGUGAAUACGUUCCCGGGCCUUGUACACACCGCCCGUCAAGCCAUGG